AAGAAUUUACCAUGCAGCGUUGCUUGUAUUUGUCUUAAUCCGUCCCCAUCAGUAAGCCACUCACUGUGGAGGGAAACUCUCCUGUGGACUGAGACUUGGAAGAUGCACAGAAUACCGAGAUUAAUACUGACGGCUGGAGCGCCUGUUGGAGGGGGCGAUAAUGCCGUGCACCACCAGGCAAUUCUUUCUAUUAAGUAGCACCAAGAAACGAUUAUGAAAUGUUCUUUACAGCCUCCUGGUAGUUGGGUGAAGCCGCGCCGUGCAGAUUCCCACUGCUGCUCGGGGGAAGGGGUGCAUAGGGCGGAGGACUGCAGCAUCCGACCAGCGCUGAGCUGCCCAUCGGCGACACAACUUCUGCCUUGAGAACCUUCUCCAAAUUCCCUUCCAUUGAGGAGCAGGAUUGCGUGGCAAGCGCAGUGAUAGAUUUUGCAAGACCAAGCUGUACGCACGCUCAGCCUGGGGGAAUUUCUGAAAGUUUUCUAUUUUUCCUUUCUUUGUUUCUUUCUUUUUUUUUUUUUUUUUUUUUUUUUUCUUAACUGUCUGUUGAGGAGAUGAGCAUAAAACCCACUGGCAGGCGAGGCGUCCGCUCCUGCCUCCGUGGGGGUGGAGGCGCUCUAGAGGCCGUGUCCACCACCAGCACAAGUAAUCGAAGCAGCGUUUAGGAUCUGUUCUCACAGCAUCUCUCUCCAUCCCCGCCGGAGCCAGGAAGCACCAGUCACCUCCCAGGGGAGCUCCUUCCUGUGGAAAUUCCCAGCACAGUUUCUCAACAAAGGAGCUUGAGUGUCUUCUAAUAUAUCUUGGAUAAACAUCUGCUUGUGAUAUUCAUCCAAAAACUGGAAAUACUAGGCUUGCUUCACACUGAUUCAUUUCAGCAGCUGACCCAGCAGCACUUUAUAUACCAGUACCGAUGAUUAACUUUGGUUGACUCAAGAGGUUGUCUUUGGCCUAGAUUUAGAGUCAGGCUCAGAUCUUUAGUGGAAGACCUCAGGGUUCAUGCCUGACACCACCAAAUUGUCAUGCAAACGCAUCCACAGGAAAACAGCUGAUGUUAAUGUUGCUAUUCUACAGACGUGUGCCUCAUCUGUGCUGACUGCAGGAGAUUCAUCUGUCUGGUUUUCAGCCCAGCCUGGGAGCUGAUACAGGGACAGACCCCCUUGCCACCUUCACUGUAACUGUAGGGGUGUUUGGUUUAAGCUCCCGGCAUAGCAGAAGGUUCCAGGAGCACCAGGAGUAGCAGUUUUUCACAGGAAUAAUGGUAAAACACCUUGCUUUCCCUCUCCUUCCUGGAGGCAACCCUAUGGUUUAUUCUUUCUAUUUCCAGUGUGUUCUGGGUCAUUUCCAGGUCCAUUCACUUGAUAGCUUUCAGCCCUAUUUAAUAUGUUCCCUGGAAGGGGAGAGAAACGUGUGCUGAGAAACAAGAACGGCUGUCCUUCAUCCGAACAUCCCCGUCUGGCUGGAUUGCACCCACCCUCCCCAAACCCGCUGCGUGGCUUCAAACAGUCUCCUUGUACCCAUCCCAUGUUUAAAGCCUUCUCAGAAAAUAGGUGAAUUCCUCUAGCUACUAACCUGCUGGAGGAGCCUGUCAAGGGCUGGCUGCACGCACUUCAGUCUUCGUGAGAAUCAAAGUAAAACAAGGAGAGCCUCACAGAAAAGGGUUACAGAGAGUUUCACGUAUUUUGCAGCCUUUUCAUGGCUUAAAUUACGCUUCCCCUUGUUCUAGUUUUAAAAGGCAGAACAGAAAACUUAAUUUUAACACUGGAAAAUGAAGGCUCUUCAAUUAUUUAUAACAUUAAAAUGUACAAAUGUUUGAUCAAUGAACUUGAAAAAAACAUGCAACUACAAAACCCAUUUCACAGUGUUCUAAAGUUCAUGUGGCAGAGAUAGAGAAGUGAAAUGAUUAUUAACAGACGAAGAGCAGCAUUUUAAUAACAUUCAGGCUGUAAUAAUGAGGCUGACAAAAGCAAGGAAAUUCAAAGCCAACACUGAUCUGAUGUUCCCUCCUUAACACGUAGGCUCUCUCUAAUUUUGCAGAACGUAAGAUAUUGUAAGAAAGCUGCAGACAUGCCUGAGACCCCUCGGUGUGGUGCCCAGUGGGGUGGCAGCAGGAUGAGGUACCUUUUGUUUCAGAACUUUGUCAUUUUGUAGUGGAGUGUUUGGAAUAAACACACAGCUGUGUCUUCA